UGGGGAAUCUUGCACAAUGGGCGAAAGCCUGAUGCAGCAACGCCGCGUGCGGGAAGACAGCCCUAGGGUUGUAAACCGCUUUCAGCAGGGAAGAAACUGACGGUACCUGCAGAAGAAGAUGCGGCCAACUACGUGCCAGCAGCCGCGGUGACACGUAGGCAUCAAGCGUUAUCCGGAUUUAUUGGGCGUAAAGAGCUCGUAGGCGGUUCGGUAAGUCGGGUGUGAAAAUCUCUGGGCUCAACCCAGAGAGGCCACUCGAUACUGCUGUGACUAGAGUGCGGUAGGGGAGCGGGGAAUUCCUGGUGUAGCGGUGAAAUGCGCAGAUAUCAGGAGGAACACCAGUGGCGAAGGCGCCGCUCUGGGCCGUAACUGACGCUGAGGAGCGAAAGCAUGGGUAGCAAACAGGAUUAGAUA
rnacentral:rRNA from 1 species